AUUGAACGCUGGCGGCAGGCCUAACACAUGCAAGUCGAACGGUAACAGGAAGAAGCUUGCUUCUUUGCUGACGAGUGGCGGACGGGUGAGUAAUGUCUGGGAAACUGCCUGAUGGAGGGGGAUAACUACUGGAAACGGUAGCUAAUACCGCAUAAUGUCGCAAGACCAAAGAGGGGGACCUUCGGGCCUCUUGCCAUCGGAUGUGCCCAGAUGGGAUUAGCUAGUAGGUGGGGUAACGGCUCACCUAGGCGACGAUCCCUAGCUGGUCUGAGAGGAUGACCGGCCACACUGGAACUGAGACACGGUCCAGACUCCUACGGGAGGCAGCAGUGGGGAAUAUUGCACAAUGGGCGCAAGCCUGAUGCAGCUAUGCCGCGUGUAUGAAGAAGGCCUUCGGGUUGUAAAGUACUUUCAGCGGGGAGGAAGGGAGUAAAGUUAAUACCUUUGCUCAUUGACGUUACCCGCAGAAGAAGCACCGGCUAACUCCGUG
rnacentral:rRNA from 1 species